UCAAAAUCGAGCAUUUCAAAUAUUUCAUGAAAUAUAUACUCAAACAGCAUGUCACAAUCUUCUGGGUCGAAACACUGAAA
ensembl:ncRNA F26E4.18 ncRNA